CUUUCCAAAUGGCACCGGCAGCUUCUAAAUAGCUUAGAUGGAGGAAGCCACGAAGGACGUAUACAUUUCAGAAGUCUCAGACUAUAAGUUUAAUGGAAGAACUUUCAACACAAUCUUUCGGAAAUAUCAGUACAUGGACAAAGUAUUUUCACAUGCUGUUGCUAGUGUUAGUGAGCCAGGACAUGGUCAGGAGAGUAUUUUGGUUCCUGGAAAAGUCACACACACACAGAGCAAGUGAAGGACUCUGUGACACAGCGGCCAAGACGGAGACUCCGCAUGAGCGCAACCAAGAAGAACGUCAUCGUUGGUCGGGGGGCAAUAGACAACCCAAGAUUUGCCAAGUGCACGGUGUCAAAACACUGAUGGUAAUUCCUGCUGCCUCAGACAUCUUGAUGUUUCAAUUUUAGCAGUAUGAGGAGCCUGCAGGGAAUCCAAGAGGGGGAAAAAAAAAAUCCACGAGGCUGCAAAGGAGAAGGAAAAAAAACCCAAAGAAGUGGUGAACAGAAGACAUCAUUGGGGUGCAGCAGCACAGGAGCAGCUGGAAGUAACAGGACGCUUCAAUGAUUUCCACAGAACAGACAAGCUGUGAUGGAACAGCACAUUUAAAGGAGUUUGGGUUUUAUUAAGUUUGUGCUUAAAAGCACAGAGGCAUGCUGAACCCCUCCUCAAGUCCCUUCCCUCACUAAUU